GAAGACAAAACUCGCUUAUCAAAUGCUCUAUGUAGUUAUGACAGAUUUCUGACAAAUUUAAUUGGUUUUAGAAAAUUAUUAUAGAUGAUUCAUAUAAAAAAUUAUAUAAUCGAUUUAAAGAUUUUUUAUCAAUAUGGUAUCAUCCAUAACGCUUAAUGAGGUGAUCAGUAACAAUUUGUAAAGGUCUUUCUCAAAAAAAUUGACGAGAUGCAUGUUCUAAAAUGGAUGAAAUUCAUUGUGAAGAAAGAGAAAUUCAAAGAACUCCAUAGGAGCCAGGUUGACUGCAUCAGGUGUGUAGCCUUGAAUAUCAUCUGUAUUCAUAUUCUGAUCAGGAACAGUAUGGUUAUCAAGACUUAGCAGAUGUAACAGAACAUAUCUCUAUCAUAUCUGCAAAAGGUAAUUGGUCUUGCAUACAAGAUAGCUUGGUAUGGUUGAACUGAAGAUACACCUGAUGCAAACUAGUCAAGAAUUAGAGAUUUUUGAAUAGCUAUAGGUUUGUGUUUUUCACUCCAGGAAUGAACUUCUUGCAUGAUUCAUCUUUCCUCCUCUUUUCACAUUGGAGAAAAAAAAAAAGAAAAAAGUUCAAUCCUAGAGUGUAAAAAGAAAAACUUUUAAUAAAUUAAAUUUAAAAAUAGCUUGGACUUCAAAAAACAUAAUUUAAUAUAUUUUUUAACAUGUUUCUAUAAAAUAAAAUAAAAUAUACAAUCUCUAAAAAUUUUAUCUUGUGUACUCUCAAUUGUAUUAUUGAUUGUACUAAUUAAAUUAAUUGAUUAUUUUG